GUUUGGGAUUACUAGCCCCCCCCCCUUGCGUUCCUAGUGCAGUUUCUCCAGACGUUGAACCUUGAAAGCGCAUGUACCAAACUGAGCGCGUGUGAGAGGCGGAGAAGAGUAUAAUCUUGGGAGGAGGGGAACGGAUGUGUUCUAGUUGCUACCUUCUGUUUAGUAAUCAAGUCCCGCCCCAAACCCCUUCAAAAGGAGACAAAGCUUUGUGAAAUUGUUGGAACUUUCAUCUGAGUCCUUAAGAUUUAUAGUACUGCAGUGCUGGCUUUGUUUUGGGUUUUGCUUCCAAGUUUCUCCUGGAGAGUUAAAAAGGUUACACGCCCAGACCUGAAAAGCGAACGAAAUCUGUACCUGCAAUGUUCACAGCGUUUGCUAACUCUCUGCAGCCCUGAUGAGACGAGAUAAAAUUCUUGAGAGUUGGCCACAAUUUGAAGUUCAUUAUUUGAAGUUCAUAGCUGUGACUCAUCCAAAAUUACAAGCUGUUCUGCUGAAAUUCUCUGGAGAAGUGAAAGCGUCUUGAGGACUGAAGUCAACUACACAUAUUUAAUUCAAUUUACUUCUACGCUUAAAGUAAUAUACAUGAAAGGAUUGGCAUACAGUGAGACCAUGGCAAAUCAUGUGAGAAGUAUUACAAUUUCUGGAAGAAUAUCAUGUUGAUGUAAGCAAAUGCUCAAAUAAAAGAAGAUGCCUCACAACUCCCAGAGAUUAUGAACAAUAUUGUCAUAAAAAGACUGAAAUGGGUAUAAUAAAACAAAAGUACUAC